GAUGAACGCUGGCGGCGUGCCUAAUACAUGCAAGUCGAGCGAAUGGAUUAAGAGCUUGCUCUUAUGAAGUUAGCGGCGGACGGGUGAGUAACACGUGAGUAACCUGCCCAUAAGACUGGGAUAACUCCGGGAAACCGGGGCCAAUACCGGAUAACAUUUUGAAGCGAAUGGUUCGAAAUUGAAAGGCGGAUUCGGCUGUAACUUAUGGAUGGACCCGCGUCGCAUUAGCUAGUUGGGGAGGUAACGGCUCACAAAGGCAACGAUGCGUAGCCGACCUGAGAGGGUGAUCGGCCACACUGGGACUGAGACACGGCCCAGACUCCUACGGGAGGCAGCAGUAGGGAAUCUUCCGCAAUGGACGAAAGUCUGACGGAGCAACGCCGCGUGAGUGAUGAAGGCUUUCGGGUCGUAAAACUCUGUUGUUAGGGAAGAACGCCAGGUAGAGUAACUGCUACCUGUGUGACGGUACUUAACCAGAAAGCCACGGCUAACUACGUGCCAGCCGCCGCAGUAA
rnacentral:rRNA from 1 species